rnacentral:rRNA from 1 species
UACGAAGGGGGCUAGCGUUGCUCGGAAUCACUGGGCGUAAAGGGUGCGUAGGCGGGUCUUUAAGUCAGAGGUGAAAUCCUGGAGCUCAACUCCAGAACUGCCUUUGAUACUGAAGAUCUUGAGUUCGGGAGAGGUGAGUGGAACUGCGAGUGUAGAGGUGAAAUUCGUAGAUAUUCGGAAGAACACCAGUGGCGAAGGCGGCUCACUGGCCCGGUACUGACGCUCAGGAGCGAAAGCGUGGGGAGCGAUCCGG